rnacentral:rRNA from 1 species
GACGAACCACACAAACGUUAUUCGGAAUCACUGGGCUUACAGGGUGCGUAGGCGGUACGGUAAGUGGGGUGUGAAAUCCUACAGCUCAACUGUAGAACUGCGCUCCAAACUACCGUGCUUGAGGGAGACAGAGGUGAGCGGAACUGAGGGUGGAGCGGUGAAAUGCGUUGAUAUCCUCAGGAACGCCGGUGGCGAAAGCGGCUCACUGGGUCUCUUCUGACGCUGAGGCACGAAAGCUAGGGUAGCGAACGGG